rnacentral:tRNA from 1 species
GGAGGAGUCACCAGAAAUUGGUAUCUGUCCGGUCUUGAAAACCGGUCAUGGUUGCGAAACCAUGUGCGAGUUCGACCCUCGCCUCCUCCGCCA